UACGUAGGUGGCAAGCGUUGUCCGGAAUUAUUGGGCGUAAAGCGUGCGCAGGCGGUCUGCUAAGAGAGAUGUGAAAUCCCCGGGCUUAACCUGGGAACUGCGUUUCUAACUGGCAGGCUUGAGUGUGGCAGAGGGGGGUGGAAUUCCACGUGUAGCAGUGAAAUGCGUAGAGAUGUGGAGGAACACCGAUGGCGAAGGCAGCCCCCUGGGCUAACACUGACGCUCAUGCACGAAAGCGUGGGGAGCAAACGGG
rnacentral:rRNA from 1 species